UACAGAGGUCCCGAGCGUUGUUCGGAUUCACUGGGCGUAAAGGGUGCGUAGGUGGCGAGGUAAGUCGGAUGUGAAAGCUCGGAGCUCAACUCCGAAAUGGCAUUGGAAACUACCUUGCUCGAGGGUUGGAGGGGGGACUGGAAUACUUGGUGUAGCAGUGAAAUGCGUAGAUAUCAGUAGGAACACCAAUGGCGAAGGCAGCUUGCUGGGCCACACCUGACGCUAAGGCACGAAAGCGUGGGGAGCGAACAGG
rnacentral:rRNA from 1 species